GAACACGAUUUUGUAGCCAAGCAACUUGACUAUAGUCUACUCGAGCUAGUUCCGUUCUAUUGGAACGAUGAUAUCGCUACGCCUUUCCUACUUUGUUACUCUCUGCCAGUACAAUUGGUAGUGGCAGUACGAAUCGACAGGAAUUUUUGGCCCCAAAUUGGGGAUUUGUAUUAGGAGAAUAUGAUGUGUAAGGAGAUGGCACGCAAAAUCUCUGUCGAACGGUUCUUCUAAAACAACAAAUUGUAAAUAUAUGUUAUUCGAAGUUAGCGAACAUGAGUUUUCUUUUUACAUAGUUCACGGGUUAAUCAAGAAUUCUAAUUGCGGAAGUGUUACGCAUUAAAGGCGGAGGAAGCUAUGUAUAUAUGUAUUUAAAAGUUUUCCUUAGAAUGGAACGAUUUAAUUGAGUAGACUAUAGCGUAUAGAAGAGCGUAUUGUGUUUUUGUUCUACCAUGUACGGAAUGCAUUGUGAAUUUCGGUGUUUGUGAAUGGUGACACGCGCAAUAUGUAUUACGUGUUUAUAUAGUAUACAUUAUACCGAUAGGUGAAAUAAAAA